AUUGAACGCUAGCGGGAUGCUUUACACAUGCAAGUCGAACGAGUGGCGGACGGGUGAGUAAUAUCUCGGAACGUGCCCAGUAGCUGGGUAUAACUACUCGAAAGAGUAGCUAAUACCGCAUACUAUUGGAUCGGCCCAUAUCGGAUUAGCUAGUUGGUGGGGUAAAGGCUCACCAAGGCAACGAUCCGUAGCUGGUUUUAAGGGACGACCAGACACAUGGGUACUGAGACACGGCCCAGACUCCUACGGGAGGAAGCAGUGGGGAAUAUUGGACAAUGGGGGCAACCCUGAUCCAGCCAUCCCGCGUGUAUGAGAAGGCCUUCGGGUUGUAAAGUACUUUUGGCAGAGAGGCGGUAUCUGCAGAAUAAGCACCGGCUAACUACGUGCCAGCAGCCGCGGUAAUUC
rnacentral:rRNA from 1 species